UGCCACAGCCGCAUGUAUUUCCAGGAUGAU
rnacentral:piRNA from 1 species